UGCGAGGACUGGGGAGGGUAUGAGUUAUGCCCAGUAUUAACCUGUUAUGUGAGGACUGGGGAGACUAUGAGUUAUGCCCAGUAUUAACCUGGUAUGUGAGGACUGGGGAGGGUAUGAGUUAUGCCCAGUAUAAACCUGUUAUAUGAGGACUGGGGAGGGUAUGAGUUAUGCCCAGUAUUAACCUGUUAUGUGAGGACUGGGGAGGGUAUGAGUUUUGUCACACGGGGAAAUGGAAUGUUCUUUCUGCUGGAUUCCCAUGUCUAGCUCGGGAUGUGGACGAGUCAUGUGCUCUGGUUUCCACAAUGUGCGUGUGUGUCUGUGUGUGCGUGCGUGCGUCAGGCGGGUAGGAAGGUCUGGGUCGACAGGGAACGGCUCUGGGGCAGGCUGACUGGAGAAGGGCGUGGCCUAGUGUUCCCCUGCUGAACUCCUAAGGUGGUCUCUGGUUUCCAGCGCCAUGGCAACUCUAAUGUCAACGCCUGGUAGUAGCCGACUAGCCCUGUGCUCAGUGGGUCCUGGCAGAGCUGUACUGAACUAGCAUCCAGUACAGAGGAAUGUGUUAUGAGGACACACACCGACACGCUUAAAUAUAGCUGUUCUUUCACUGUCGUAGCACCACGUGUGGUUGUUGAUACAAGCCUUCUAGGAAAUGCUUUUAUGUACUGCUUAUGAACUGUUUUGUGUGGUUAUGAACGCGUCAUGACAUGGUAAUGUAGGUACCCUUCAAAUGAAGUGUUCCCCAAGUCUUUCCUAACGCUGUGCCUGUUGCCAUGUCUCCCUCUUCCAGGCAUGUUGGUGGACAGUACAGGACACUACUCUUAUGUGUUCUAUGCCUGCAGUGUGACUGUCUCCUCCUCUGGCCUCUUCCUCAUCGCAGCGUUCUACUAUCUGGACAGACAGAAGAAGAGGGAAGAGAAGAAGAGAGCAGGUCCUCCUGCUGCUGCGUACCAACAGAAGCCUGCUAUCAGCCUAGUCCCUGACUGCCAGUACAGCCAUGUUCCUUCUACACAGGGAGGGAAGCCUGCUAUCAGCCUAGUCCCUGACUGCCAGUACAGCCAUGUUCCUUCUACACAGGGAGGGAGAUCAGCGGACACUGUUUGUGUCAGCAACGUGUGA
rnacentral:lncRNA from 13 species